AGAGUUUGAUCAUGGCUCAGGAUGAACGCUAGCUACAGGCUUAACACAUGCAAGUCGAGGGGAAACGACAUCGAAAGCUUGCUUUUGAUGGGCGUCGACCGGCGCACGGGUGAGUAACGCGUAUCCAACCUGCCCACCACUUGGGGAUAACCUUGCGAAAGUAAGACUAAUACCCAAUGAUAUCUCUAGAAGACAUCUGAAAGAGAUUAAAGAUUUAUCGGUGAUGGAUGGGGAUGCGUCUGAUUAGCUUGUUGGCGGGGUAACGGCCACCAAGGCGACGAUCAGGUAGGGUUCUGAGAGGAAGGUCCCCCANAUUGGAACUGAGACACGGUCCAAACUCCUACGGGAGCA
rnacentral:rRNA from 1 species